UACGGAGGAUGCAAGCGUUAUCCGGAUUUAUUGGGUUUAAAGGGUGCGCAGGUUGUUUGAUAAGUCAGUGGUGAAAGUCUGUCGCUUAACGGUAGGAUUGCCAUUGAUACUGUUGGACUUGAAUAUGGAUGAGGCAGGCGGAAUGUGUAGUGUAGCGGUGAAAUGCAUAGAUAUUACACAGAACACCGAUUGCGAAGGCAGCUUACUAAUCCAUCAUUGACGCUGAGGCACGAAAGCGUGGGGAUCAAA
rnacentral:rRNA from 1 species